ACAGGCCUAGUUUUUUAAGAAGCCACAAAAGUGUCUUUGGAUGAUUAGGAUCUAAGGGGCCAACAGCUUUGCAAUAACAGCAUAAAUAUUGUGGGCUGGAUGGACAGGCACCAAAUGGGGACAUUCCAUCCUGCUGUGUGAUGAGAAAGCUGCCACUUUUGAGGCCUUCCAAAACAAAUCAACACUCCAUAUGCCAGAAGGAAAAGCCCAGGAAAGACCUAUUCCAACUGGAGAUGGUGAAUGUCAUUUCUUCAAGAAGCUGAGAUCCAGCUGGUACUGCCAGGUGGAGAGAAUACGAAGGGAGAAUGAAACAAAACUGCUCCGCUUAGGGAACUUGGAAAGGAAAUUGAAAAGGCAAGGCACAGGCUGGAAGAAAAUAUUUGAAAAAGAUUUAUGUGAACUUCUUUCUGGAUUAUACAAAAUAUUUUUAGAUAUUCUUACAACUCUAAAAUAAGAUAACUCCUUAAAAAU
rnacentral:lncRNA from 10 species